rnacentral:rRNA from 1 species
UAGCUAAAUGCGGAAGAGAUAAGUGCUGAAAGCAUCUAAGCACGAAACUUGCCCCGAGAUGAGUUCUCCCUGACUCCUUGAGAGUCCUGAAGGAACGUUGAAGACGACGACGUUGAUAGGCCGGGUGUGUAAGCGCAGCGAUGCGUUGAGCUAACCGGUACUAAUGAACCGUGAGGCUUAACCUUACAACGCCGAAGCUGUU